UUUGUGCUGUCACUUCAUUUUUUUCCUUCUUGCCUCACAUUUUCUUUCCCCAUUUUGAAUGUGAAUAUUUACUUUUGUUUUCCCAUUUGGCUGUGUUUUGAGGAUCUUCACUUGACUAAUAAGUAUUUUACCUCUUCUUUGGUUUUUUUUUUUUUUUUUUUUUUUUUGGUAGGACGUUAGUGCUCUUCUUGUCCAGGCUUGCCGACUGGUACCUCUUAACCAGAAUCAUCUUGUCAGCAAAGUGUCCCAGCUUAUCCACCAUUUACUUAACAGAUUACAGGUCUCAUGUGGGAGAGGUGGACUUCCAAAUUAAAUUAGUACUCUGCCAGCAGGGAAGGAAGAAAUGGAUGCUGGUAGGUAACCAACCAACUCUGCUGCAUGGAGUAAGGCUGUUUUCAGUUUAGAAUCGUUGAAACUAACAUGGGGUAGCUCCUGUAUGUUUACUAUUCUCAGGUGUAUCGUCUUUGUAACACUGGCAGUUGGAGAGGUUCCUGAACACCUGUGGCACCUAUCACGCUUUACCAGCUUUCCAGCAUUUGGUGACAGUUAGUCUCAAUUGUCCAUGAAUUGACACUUGGAUUAAUCUGGUCUGUCCCAACAAGAUGAUCAGCUCCGUGACAGCAGGGAUAUGCCCUGUCUUCAGGGUAUUCCUCAGGUCAUGUUAGAGAUACAGUAGGUGUUUAGUAGGUAUAUUGGUUCACUGUGUAUUCGUUGAGUGUAUUAUGUAUAAGGCAGUUUAAUUAAAUUUCAGUGCAUUGAAAUACUCAUAUCUGUGUAUUCACAGCUGCCAAUGUCUGGUUAGUUCAAGGAAAAGUUACAAGGACUUUAUCAAGUUCUACUUUACUAAAGAGGAAGAAGUGAGCAAGACCUUAGGGCGGGGAGAAGGCCCCUACGUUGAUCAAACUUUCAGGCCCUUUAGAGGUGAUCCUUUUGACACAUAAACGACAGACAUACACUCUGUCUUUUAUACAGCUUGACUCAGGUGAGCAUACAUGUCCAUAAAAGCAUAAUAUCUUUUAAAAUUUAGAUCAGAAUAUAUCUUUUCCUGUCGUGUUAGGUAAUUGUGGAUGAACAGCACUUGGAUUUCCUGUUGGCGUAUACUAUUUCGACUAUUCAUCAGUGUAGUUCCUGGACACACAUGGAAAUUCUUCAAGCCCUGGCAGCUCUGGUGUACUGCAAUGGCUCAGAAUGUCAAAAGAUAGUUUAAAGUGCUUAAUCCUUCCUUUGAAAGGCCAGGAGCACAGGCUCUGGUGCCAACACUGUUCAGGUUUCUAUCUUGCUACUAAUCUCUAGCAAUUCUUACUUAACCACUCUGGGCCUUGUUUCCUCAUGUAUAAAAUUGUUACUCUGAGG
rnacentral:lncRNA from 1 species